rnacentral:lncRNA from 1 species
AAAGCUCGUCUACCCCCAACCGACCAGCCUCGCCAUUUUGUCAAUUUCCUCAAAUCAAACCCUCCAUCCAUUCAAACCCUCAAAUCCAUUCUUCUUCUUCAAAAAUUCCUAAAUUAAACCCUCCAUUCUUCUUUUUGUUCAUUAGUUCAUUCAACCUCACCAAUCAAAAUCCCUACCUCCAUUCUUCUUCUUCAUCAGUUCAUCGAGCUUUCCUAAGUUAGGCAAAUCCCUCACCAUCUCGGGUCUCCAGUCGCUCCAAAAUUGGUGUUCCUUCUGGCCGGCGCCCGCUUCGUUCUGUUCAGUCAUAUCCUCGACUUUUCUGCAUCUCCCAAGUUUGUCCCGAAACACUGAGCAAUAUAUAUAUAAAGAUAAUUGUUGCAGCAUGCUGCAUAUAUGACUGUCGGAUCAAAUUAAUCGAAAAAAAAUAUUACUGUUACUGCAUAUUUU